GUAGGUGAACCUGCGGAGGGAUCAUUACAGAGUUCAUGCCCUAACGGGUAGAUCUCCCACCCUGUGUUAUUAUUACUAUGUUGCUUUGGCGGGCCGUCAGGCUCACGCUCGACCACCGGCCCCGGCUGGUGUGCGCCCGCCAGAGGCUCCAAAACCCUGAAUAUUAGUGUCGUCUGAGUACUAUAUAAUAGUUAAAACUUUCAACAACGGAUCUCUUGGUUCUG
rnacentral:misc_RNA from 1 species